AUGGCUGUCGUCAGCUCGUGUCGUGAGAUGUUGGGUUAAGUCCCGUAACGAGCGCAACCCCUAUCCUUAUUUGCCAGCACAUUAUGGUGGGAACUAUAAGGAGACUGCCGGUGAUAAACCGGAGGAAGGCGGGGACGACGUCAAGUCAUCAUGGCCCUUACGACCAGGGCUACACACGUGCUACAAUGGGAAGGACAAAGAGCCGCGAAGCCGCGAGGUGUAGCUAAUCUCAUAAAUCUUUUCGUAGUCCGGAUUGGAGUCUGCAACUCGACUCCAUGAAGUCGGAAUCGCUAGUAAUCGUAGAUCAGAAUGCUACGGUGAAUACGUUCCCGGGUCUUGUACACACCGCCCGUCAUACCAUGGGAGUGGGUUGCACCAGAAGUGGCUAGUCUAACUUUGUGAGGACGGUCACCACGGUGUGAUUCAUGACUGGGGUAAAGUCGUAACAAGGUAGCCCUACCGGAAGGUGGGGCUGGAUCACCUCCUUAAGAAAAGUACGAGUGUUCACACAAGUUGUUUGAUAAAAAUAUAGUAAAGAGAGAAUAGACCAAUAACCCAAAAUCAAUGUUAUUGAUAUUAAGGGUCUGUAGCUCAGUUGGUUAGAGCGCACCCCUGAUAAGGGUGAGGUCGGUGGUUCAAAUCCACCCAGACCCACCAUUUUUCUGGGUUAUUAGUUUUUAUUGGGGCUAUAGCUCAGCUGGGAGAGCGCCUGAUUUGCAUUCAGGAGGUCAGCAGUUCGAUCCUGCUUAGCUCCACCAUUUUCUCUUAUGAAAACUUAAAUAAGAUUUAUUGUUAAGUUUUAUUUAAGUUUUUAUACCUAGCCUUGGCUAGGAGCUCUUUAACAAUUUGGAUAUGAAGUAAAGUUUGUUAAAUACAAUACAACGUAUAAGUAGAUAUAAAUAUGUUAUCGAAGGUGUAUUGCAUUGACACAACAAUUUCAAAAAAUAUGGAUUCUCGAUGAUAGAUUAAUCUCUAUCAUUGAAAAUAGAAAUCACCGAUUAGAUUGAAAGAUUUAGUUAGUGACUUCACAAGGUGAAAUACGAAACCAGAUAACCUAGAUAUUUUGGGGUUAUAUGGUCAAGUGAAUAAGUGCAUACGAUGGAUGCCUUGGCAGUAGAAGGCGAUGAAGGACGUGAUAAUCUGCGAUAAGCUUCGGUUAGCUGAUAAAUAAGCUUUAACCCGGAGAUCUCCGAAUGGGGAAACCCGG
rnacentral:sRNA from 1 species